GACGAACGCUGGCGGCGUGCUUAACACAUGCAAGUCGAACGGAAAGGCCCUGCUUUUGUGGGGUGCUCGAGUGGCGAACGGGUGAGUAACACGUGAGUAACCUGCCCUUGACUUUGGGAUAACUUCAGGAAACUGGGGCUAAUAUCGGAUAGGAGCUCCUGCUGCAUGGUGGGGGUUGGAAAGUUUCGGCGGUUGGGGAUGGGCUCGCGGCUUAUCAGCUUGUUGGUGGGGUAGUGGCUUACCAAGGCUUUGACGGGUAGCCGGCCUGAGAGGGUGACCGGCCAACUUGGGACUGAGCUACGGCACAGACUCGUAAGGGAGGCAGCAGUGGGGAAUAUUGCACGAUGGGCGGAAGCCUGAUGCAGCAACGCCGCGUGCGGGAUGGCGGCCUUCGGGUUGUAAACCGCUUUCGCCUGUAACGAAGCGUGAGUGACGGUAAUGGGUAAAGAAGCACCGGCUAACUACGUG
rnacentral:rRNA from 1 species